rnacentral:rRNA from 1 species
UACGUAGGGGGCGAGCGUUGUCCGGAAUUACUGGGCGUAAAGGGCGCGUAGGCGGCCCGCUAAGUCGAACGUGAAAUCCCCGAGCUCAACUCGGGAACUGCGUCCGAUACUGGUGGGCUUGAAUCCGGGAGAGGGAUGCGGAAUUCCAGGUGUAGCGGUGAAAUGCGUAGAUAUCUGGAGGAACACCGGUGGCGAAGGCGGCAUCCUGGACCGGCAUUGACGCUGAGGCGCGAAAGCUAGGGGAGCAAACGGG